AGAUGCAGCAACUCUUCCACGGUCGCAAUACCUGUCCACUCCCUAACGUUACGAAGACAUGAUUUUUUCCUUCAACAAGCCGUGUACCCUGGAGUUAACACAUGACACAGGACUUAUAAAUAGAACACUUUUCACUGAAGUAUUUUCGAAGCAAUUCCACAUGGGGUCCUUCAAGAGAGCGUACCAGUUCCUAAAAAGCCGCCAAUUCCUAAAAUGGGUGGCGAUAUCACUUUAGUUUCAGAACUUUCAGUCCCAAAAAGCAGUUUACUUCUUAUAUCUUCUUUCGAAGGAGAUCAACGUUUAAUUUUGGAUGCCGCGCUUCUGAACUAGUAACUUGGUACAUGAACCGUUGCCUAAGAUUCUUCUUGAAAGAGUCUUCUUCUACCGGCCACUAUGCCUUGAUUGGAGCUCGAAGAAGUUUACUAAAGCGAUUUAUUCUACAAUUAAUUACAAUUCAUUAUGGGAUUAAAAUUUAAUCUAUUUUUCAGAUAUAUCGAA